UACGUAGGGGGCAAGCGUUGUCCGGAUUUAUUGGGCGUAAAGAGCGUGUAGGCGGUUAGGUAGGUCCGUUGUGAAAACUCGAGGCUCAACCUCGAGACGCCGAUGGAAACCCCCUAACUAGAGUCCGGAAGAGGGAUGCGGAAUUCCAGGUGUAGCGGUGAAAUGCGUAGAUAUCUGGAGGAACACCGGUGGCGAAGGCGGCAUCCUGGACCGGCAUUGACGCUGAGGCGCGAAAGCUAGGGGAGCAAACGGG
rnacentral:rRNA from 1 species